UACUUCCUCUUUGGGCAUUCCGCUUAGUCUCACGAGGCAAUCCUAACCUGGCAACUAGCCAGGCGCCAUCUUUUAAUGGCGGAGGCCGCCCUGGCCAGGGGCCUGCCUCCAACAAUGUACUAGGUUUCCAAGAAGUCUCAACAGAUUUCAAAGAAUCAUGGUCAUACAGACAAUAGUCCUCGACCAAAACACACUGUUGUUUAUCUCUGAUUUCAAUUUCACUCUAAGAGACAUCCAAAGAAGACUACACUAAAAGAGCGAGCUUCACUUAUAUCCUAAACACAAAAGAAGGGCAAUUACAAGGUGUCACUUAGGACCCAGGGUUUUCUCACCCAGGGUGACCACAGAUAGAUACAAUUUGGCAAUACCUAUCAAAAUUUAAAAUAUACAUUUCCCCUUUGCCCCCCAAUCCACUCCUAGGAAUUUUCCCCAUAGAUACACUUAUAAAUGUGCAAAGAGAAGAAUGUGCAAGGAUUUUCAUCACAGUAUUAAACCACUACUGCAAAAGAUACAAAAACUUUCACGUCCAUCAAUGCAAGAAUGAGUCAACUGCGGUCUUGUCAGGACCAUAAGCGCCACAAAAGUGUUGACUACUACCCUGCAAUUCCUUGCAGUACACAGUAGACACCAAACAAACAUCACAGUUUAAACAAGAUUUGUACAUGCCAAUCAUCAGAAAUAGGGCAAAGAGAGAAGACUUCUCCUGGAGAAAGAGCAGACUCAAGAACAAAGAAAGAACUUAUACCAUGAUGCUGGAUUUUGUUGAAAUUCACCAGGCUAACAUGUUAGAAGUUCAGAAUCAGUGUUUACUUUCUUGGUCAUCUAACCAUAAAAGCUAGGGGAAAUCUUUUCAUAUAGUAUGGGGAAUAAAAAUGCAAUGCUACAGA
rnacentral:lncRNA from 1 species